UACAGAGGGUGCAAGCGUUAAUCGGAAUUACUGGGCGUAAAGCGCGCGUAGGUGGCCCAGUAAGUCCGCUCUGAAAGUCAAAGGCUCAACCUUUGAAAGCGGGUGGAUACUGCUGGGCUAGAGUCCGGAAGAGGCGAGUGGAAUUCCUGGUGUAGCGGUGGAAUGCGCAGAUAUCAGGAGGAACACCAACGGCGAAGGCAGCUCGCUGGGACGGUACUGACACUAAGGCGCGAAAGCGUGGGGAGCGAACAGG
rnacentral:rRNA from 1 species